UACGUAGGGAGCAAGCGUUGUCCGGAAUCAUUGGGCGUAAAGCGCGCGUAGGUGGCCCGAUAAGUCCGCUCUGAAAGUCACAGGCUCAACCUGUGAAGGCGCGUGGAUACUGUCGGGCUAGAGUCCGGAAGAGGCGAGUGGAAUUCCUGGUGUAGCGGUGGAAUGCGCAGAUAUCCGGAGGAACACCAACGGCGAAGGCAGCUCGCUGGGACGGUACUG
rnacentral:rRNA from 1 species